CACACAGGGCCGCCCGGGGGGGCAAGUGGGGCAAUUUGCCCCAGGCCCCAUAGGGCCCCCCACGAGUGUUCCGGGGCCCCUGGAACGGGGUCCUUCACUCGCUCCGGAAAACUCUUGUGGGGCCCGGGGCUUCUUCCGCUCCGGGUCUUCGGCAGCAAUUCGGCGGUGGCGGGGGGUCCUUCCGUCCUGGGACCCACCGCCGAAAUGACGCACUGGAGCUAGGAGGUCAGCUGCACCAAGUUCCUGGGUGGUGAAGGGCGCCAUGCGGGGAGGGGGUGCAAAAGGCAUGAGGGAGUGCAGGGGUUAGGUGAGAAGGAGGAUGCAGGCAGGGAGUGCAGGAGUUAGGGGAUAAGAUGACGCAGGUGUGGAGUGGACUGAUACCUGCAUGUCCUCAAGUGAGUUUAAAAGCAGCAAGGACUGAUGGCUUGGUUGUGAAAGCACCAGAGUCUGCAGAUUUGUAUGUAAAUUUUUUAUCAGCACAGGGCUAUUUGUCUCAGAUAUAAAGGAAAGUGCUGCUGAAAGACACCACAGUUAAAAGGUUCUUUCUUUCCUCAGGUGCACGGCUGUGGCGAAUUAACUUGUUAAGCACACCCUGGCUAACAGAAAUCUAGUGCAACAGAUGUAAUACACAAGGAGUAUGUGCAACAAGCAUGGCUUGUUCUCUCUGUCAGCCUCUUGCCAUCCUCCUCCCCCUGAGGCCAUCCCCAUUGGCAUCUUUAUUGUGCUUCUGAUUUAGACUGAUUUUAUAAGCUCCUCAGAGCAGCGCUCCUGUCUUUUUUUAUCUGCCUAUAAAUACUCAGCACUUACAUCACACCUUUCACUGAAAGAUCUCAAAGCACUUUACAAACAUAUGUAUGUGUCAUUACAGAUGAGGGAACCAAGGCACAGAUUAUAAACCCAAGAUUACAUGGUGGGUCAGUGGCAGAGCCAGGAACCAAGCUCACCACGGCUGAUUCCCAGGCAGUGCCCAAGCUAUUCAUCCACACUGCCUACUUCUCCAGCACCUAUGCAUCUUUAUAAACAAGUCUGCACUAGGGCAGUGUCCCUCAUACCCCAGUCCCCUCUCCACUCGCAUUGGACAAUUGUGGAUUCAUUGUAAAUCACAGACUCUGGAGACUAAAAAGACCAGUUAAAGUGGACCAUCCAGUAUUUCUCCCUACCAACACGGGAUUGUGCCCACCUGUGCACUUAAAACUCGCCUGGAGUUUUACAUGUGCCAAGCAAUAGGGCGUCCACUGCUUGCCUCAGGAGAUCUCGCUGAGGACAUAAAGAGCUAUGGUAAAUUGUUCUGCAGCAUUGAUCCAAAGCAUUACAGCUUAUGAUAACACUUAGCUGUUAGAUUGCAUUUUUUAGUUCUCAAAGGGUAGGUGCUCAAGCUGUCUGAUUCCAGGUGGUGAGUUCCUGUCUGGGGAUUUUUAAAUGGACAUAGGUGCCUCAAGACAGCUUGGAUGUAGGUGCCUAUCUCUGAGAAAGGGGCAGAGCUUAACACAUGCCUGUUGUUGGUCUUCCCCCAUUGCCUUGCUUACGGAGGGAGCACCAGGGCUGGCUUUUGUAGAUGGGAUUCUUAGGGACUAUACAUUGUACAGGGAGCUUUGGUGCCUAACUCAGCUUUGUGGAUCACAGUGUGUUCUUGUGAUUUUCUAGAUGCUGUGACACUCAGCAUUGCAACAACUAAGUCCUGUCGUGGAUCCCUCCCAAAGUACUUUACAAAAAGGGAGUAGCAUCAUCUCCAUUUUAUAGAUGGAGAAACUGACCAGGCAGAGUGACUUGCUGCAGUGAUUAGGACUGGGAGGCAGAUCUGAUUCCCAGACUUGUGUCCAGCCCAGAAGACCCUAGUUGCUAUCAGUGCUCUUGCUGUGCUUUGCACCAUUACUGCAGAAUUCCGCUGUGGGAAAUGCCAGGAAAGUGGGGCCAGGAAAGAUCUUUACAAAUUUCAGUUACAUCGACACCAGCGGGGUGUUUUUUGGCUUGCAUCUAUCCCUGUGGAAACAGAGCAGAAAUGGUGGAGGCACCUGGACAACGGAAGAGGGAGUAGCAUAUAUUUUAAAAAUGUAACUUAAUAAAACAUGCGCUUUUCAUAUUUU